UGGCUCAGUCAGUUGAGCACCUGACUUUGGCUCAGGUCAUCUCACGGUUUGUGGGUUCAAGUCCCAC
rnacentral:tRNA from 1 species